AUGAUGAUUUAUAAGCUCUCGCACACAAGAAGGGGUAAAUCCUCUGAAAAGUUUCAGGUUACAGAAGCUAGCGGGAGCAGCAUCCGAGUGCUCUGCCGGUGCACACAAGGUAGGUUUCAGUUUGGGGGCAUCUGCCCACCGCCGGCGCCCUGCUCGUCGCCGCCCCCUGGCCCUGCGGCCUCCCUGAGCUCCAGUAUCUCGACGCGCCGGUUGGUCCGCUUCCUGAUCUUGAUGGCCACGUCCUGCGGGCUGAAGGCGCCCCAGACGCUCACCCGGCCGUGCUUCCGGUCGAUCAGGUGGCUCUCCAGCUCUGCCAAUUUUGGUUCAGAUAACACAGAGCAACACACGCAGCAACUUGAGAGGUCUGUGGAAAGAGGAGGGCGUAGUACGUACCUUGCAUCUGGAGCAGCGCCCUCCUGA
rnacentral:rRNA from 1 species